UAGCGUAGGCGAUGGAAAGCAGGUUUAUAAUCCUGUACCGCGGUUAUUGUGUUUGAGAAGAGGGGGGACGCAGGAAGGAAACUUCUGCCUACCCAUGGACAUGGUGGGUCCAAAGCCGAAGUGAGGCUUCGUAGGAAAAAACGCGAGGCUAUUCAUGAGGGUAAGUAAGAAAGGGACUACGGUCCCGAUAGAAGCGGCACUACACUGCCGAGAAAAGCCCCGGUCUUCGAAUAAUAAUUGCGACCGUACUCUAAACCGACACAGGUGGACUGGGAGAAAAUCCUAAGGCGCUCGAGUGAAUCCAGGUUAAGGAACUAGACAGAUUGGCCCCGUAACUUCGGAAUAAGGGGUGCCCAAAGUAGGUGUAAUAUAUCAGCAAUGGUCAUAUGAAGCGGAACCGGGUUACAAUGAAGAGGUUCAACCGACUGUUUAACAAAAACACAUGUCUCUGCAAAGCCGUAAGGCGACGUAUAGGGACUGACACCUGCCCAAUGCUGGAAGGUCAAGAGGAGGGGUUAGCCGCAAGGCGAAGCUCUGAAUUUAAGCCCCAGUCAAUGGCGGCCGUAACUAUAACGGUCCUAAGGUAGCGAAAUUCCUUGUCGGGUAAGUUCCGACCUGCACGAAUGGUGUAACGAGUUGAACAUUGUCUCAAUCUGGAGCUCGGCGAAGUUGUACUGCUCGCGAAGAUGCGGGCUACUCACACUAGGACGGAAAGACCCCGUGGAGCUUUACUGUAGUUUGGUAUUGAUUUUUGGUGUAUUAUGUACAGGAUAGGUGGGAGGCUAAGAAGCGUGGCCGUCAGGUUGCGUGGAGCCGCCGUUGGGAUACCACCCUUAAUACACUAGAACUCUAACUUAGUCCCGUAUAUCCGGGACGAGAACAGUGCCAGGCGGGCAGUUUAACUGGGGCGGUUGCCUCCUAAAAUGUAACGGAGGCGCUCAAAGGUUCCCUCAGCGCGGUUGGAAAUCGCGCGUAGAGUGUAAAGGCAUAAGGGAGCUUAACUGCGAGACAAACAAGUCAAGCAGAUACGAAAGUAGGACUUAGUGAUCCGGUGAUUCUGAAUGGAAGGGUCAUCGCUCAACGGAUAAAAGUUACCCCGGGGAUAACAGGCUGAUCUUGCCCAAAAGUUCACAUCGACGGCAAGGUUUGGCACCUCGAUGUCGGCUCGUCGCAUCCUGGGGCUGAAGUAGGUCCCAAGGGUUGGGCUGUUCGCCCAUUAAAGCGGUACGUGAGCUGGGUUCAGAACGUCGUGAGACAGUUCGGUCCCUAUCCAGUGUGAGCGUAAGAGAAUUGAGGGGGGCUGCCUCUAGUACGAGAGGGCCGUGGUGGACUGACCUAUGGCGUACCAGUUGUCCUGCCAAAGAGCACUGCUGGGUAGCUAUGUCAGGAAGGGAUAAAAGCUGAAAGCAUCUAAGCUUGAAGCCUGCCCCGAGAUAAGUUCUCUGUUGCGAAAGCAAAAGUCCCCACGUAGACUACGUGGUUGAUAGGCCGGGUGUGCAAUGCAAGUAAUUGCUUAAGCUGACCGGUACUAAUCGGACGAACACUUGGCUGC
rnacentral:rRNA from 1 species